rnacentral:lncRNA from 1 species
CUUAAAUAUAAAAAUAAUAAUCGAUGCUUAAUAUUUUUUUACGCAUAUGCUCUUAAAAGCUUACAAUUUGAUCUUAUCGUUUAGUUAUGCUUUAUGCUUUUAGAACAUUGCAAUUAUUUAUUUUGGCAUGCUCGACCUGCUUCAUUAGUUCAACAUAACUAAUUUACAGUCUAUAUACCUUUCAAUGCUCUAAGAGAUUUAGCAUUAUGGUUAUUGUUUGUGAUAUCAUGCUUCAAACCGUCUGCCUUAUAUCUCUAUAUCCAGGCGACAGCAAGCUCACUCCAUUAAAUUGAUCCUCUUUCUUCCAUAAGCACCAAAUCAAAGACUGCUCGUCUAGCCAUUUCUAAAGAAGGGCUCCACCAAGUUGUGAUACGCUCGAUAUGUCCAUGCUUUUCCUUAACAAUUUUUGAAGCAGGAUGGUGUGGUUCAUAGCCCUCAUAUUAAUCUGAUCACCCACCAUUUCUUCUCCUUUAACUAACUAAACAGGCCUUCUAGUAGUACUAUACUUAACUCGUUUAGCAUGAAAAUGCAUAUGAAGUACAUAUAUAUAAAUUAUACUAGUACAUCACUGUUAUUGAUCAAGAAAAUUGUACACCAGAAGUUAUUCUAUCGAUUUUUCGUAGUUCAUAGGCAUUGAGAAAGUGAAAAAUAUUAGUAUUUUUCUCUCCCUCAGAUGACGCUUAUUUGCAUAUGUAUCCUAAACCCUAAUAGUAACACAUAUAUAUGCUACUUAUUUCUUAAAACAAACUCUUGACUUUUAACUAAACUAGGUUACAUAUUCAUGCUGCUGGUGCUAUGCCUGAGUCGUCGUCAUCGUCGUCGUCGUCGUCACCAUCGCCUUCAUUUCUCCCACAUAUGUGGAGAUAAACUGCUUUAUCAGCUUCAUUGCUAGUCAACUUGGGGUAACCCAUCAGCUUCUCAGCACAAAAAAUCACCAUUUUGAUAUAUCUCGAUCUACAGAACGAGGCAAUACUCGAAGUAUAUUAGGGCUAGAGCAAUAGAAUUCCCCCAUUUAUAGCUUCAAAAACCGAUAGCAUUUCAAAUUUUUAGCCCAUUUGGGAUUUGCUUUCACUCAAAAUUAUUCUUUCUUUUAAGAUAACUUUUUACUCUCAUGAAUCUUAUACGCAGGGCACAAAUUCACAUUGUGUGGUUAAUCUUAAUACAUUUAUUGCUGAUUGGCAAAAAGGGACCAAUGCAUGAGUUAAACUCAUGGCAAG